UACGUAGGGUGCGAGCGUUAAUCGGAAUUACUGGGCGUAAAGCGUGCGCAGGCGGCUUUGCAAGACAGAUGUGAAAUCCCCGGGCUCAACCUGGGAACUGCAUUUGUGACUGCAGGGCUGGAGUGCGGCAGAGGGGGAUGGAAUUCCGCGUGUAGCAGUGAAAUGCGUAGAUAUGCGGAGGAACACCGAUGGCGAAGGCAAUCCCCUGGGCCUGCACUGACGCUCAUGCACGAAAGCGUGGGGAGCAAACAGG
rnacentral:rRNA from 1 species